UUUAGGAGAAUGACAAAUUAGAUUUUUUUCUUAUAAUUUUCAGCUUUUUUCUCUUGAAAAAAUUUAAAUUCUACUAAAAAUGCUAAAAAUCAAGAGGAAAAAUCUGACAUUUGUCAUUCUCCUAUU
rnacentral:pre_miRNA from 1 species